UAAGGAAUAUUGCUCAAUGGGAGAAAUCCUGAAGGAGCAACGCCGCGUGGAGGAUGAAGGGUCUAUGACUUGUAAACUCCUGUAAAGAAGGAAAAAAUUCCCAUUAGAUGGGAGAUGAUGGUACUUCUGGAGUAAGCCCCGGCUAACUACGUGCCAGCAGCCGCGGUAAUACGUAGGGGGCAAGCGUUGUCCGGAUUUACUGGGUGUAAAGGGUGCUCAGGCGGAUUUGUAAGUCAGAGGUGAAAUCUUACAGCUUAACUGUGAAACUGCCUUUGAUACUGCAAGCCUAGAGUAUGGAAGAGAGUGAUGGAAUAUCUGGUGUAGCAGUGAAAUGCGUAGAUAUCAGAUAGAACACCAAUGACGAAGGCAGUCACUUGGUCCAUUACUGACGCUAAAGCACGAAAGCGUGGGUAGCAAACA
rnacentral:rRNA from 1 species